UAAAUGAACGAGUAAAAAAUAGAUAUAAAUAUAUACAUACGUAAAUAUUAUAAAUAUAAUACGGGAUCGGGCAAUAUUGUACUUGUUAAAUUCAUCGUUACUGUUUAUCACACCGCCUAUUGCGAGAUUACGUACUUAUUUUACGAGUAUUAUCCCUCUCAUCCCCCUUUCUCCCGACCCCUCCCCACCCCCCUUUAUCCCGACGAUUAAGUCAUAUCGAAUCUGCAGGUUUAUGUGAUACAUUUUAAAACACCUACUCACACAAACGUACACACAAAUAAUGUAUAGAUUAUAGGCAAUUAGGUAGAUAGAUUACUAAGGAUACGACGAUUAAAGAUAAUUAUAAAACUAACGGAGUGAAAAGGAUGAGGUAAAAAAGUAAGAGUGCGUAUGUGCGUUGCGAGAGUGAGAAGAGAGAGAGAGAGAGAGAGAGAGCGAAAGAGAGAUCUUACGCGAAUGAGAGUAACGACGUGAGGGAUGAAGAGCGCGUGAGAAGUGGAGGAAACCCGGAAUUUAAGAUAAAAAUCAUGCUCUUUGUAAAAGCGCAGAGUGUUUUGGGGCUGUCGAAAGUGCUUAGCCUCAGUAUUGAUCAAGCUGAAGGAACGAAAACGUUUGCUUUGAAUAUAAUCUUACGGUUGAAGCAAUUCCUAAUAUUUGAAAUUAUUUCAUUGCAAUGAAAAUUUCUCGAUGAAUUUAGUCUCAAGGAUAAGAUGGAAGAAUUUAUUUUGCACCAGAAUUAGUCCUAGAAUUAUUAUUUAAUCAUUUUGGAUCAAGUUCAUUUCAGGAUCGAGUCUUAAAUAGCUCGUCGAUUUAUUAGUCGUUUUCGCUUUGGAAUAUCCAAGAUAUUCGCUUCGAGACACGUCAGGUAAAAAUUGACGAGUCAAUAAUAACGCGGAUGAUUAUCUGAAAUUAGAACGAGACCUUCAGCCGGAGAGACGAUCGACAGGUCCGGAGGUACUCUGUAUACGAAUACGGAAACAAAUUCCAUAUCUCCUAAACGACAAUUACGUACCUUGACAUAACUAAUCGCAUCGACAGUUAAUAACGUUAAAGGAGAUCGAAAGAGCUUCAGCGGAACUGCCGGCAAUGUGAUAUGCGGCCUCAUUUGCGACUAGAGGCGUAAAAUUUUUGGGAAUCGAUGCUGUGGCACGAGAUCGAAUCCAACUUUUACAUCCGAUCGGCGCCAGAAUCUGCACGUUUCAAUAAUACGCUCUUAUAUUAACUAA